AUUUAAUGUAUUUAGAAGCAAGCUAUUGAAUCUAAUGGACACCCUCUUUCAAUGCACCGAAUAAUUAGUGCGACUGGAAAAGACUCCAAGGGGCCGUUAUGAACCUACAUUUUAUGGACAAUUGAUAGCCAGUUGUCCUUUGUCGUUUGAUGCUUCUGUUCUAGUUCUGAAAUUUGGGAAUGCUGGUAUGAUACGUGAAGGCAUAUUGCUGGGUAUAAUGAUGGAUAAAAAGCCUUUACCCAUUCUUCAUCCAUUUGGAGAGGAUAUAUUGGUAACGCCAGAGUGGAUCAAUAUUACUAUUUCCAAUUGCACUGAUUCUAUGUUGUAAUUUUUAUGAGCUUUAUUGUAAUUGAAUCCUUUUGUUUUCGUCAGUUUACAAAGCAUAUUGCUAGCUACUUUACUGACCGAACAAUCUUAGCCGGUCGAAAGGAGAUGGAAUUCAUGGCUAACUUUUGUGCAUUUGAAUUUUGGCAGCAUCUUUUCAGGGUAAAGUCAUAUUCCUCCUUCACUUUAUGAGCUUCCAAAUACCUUAGCAUUGUUUAGUUUUUGUAUGAGGAUUUAUUGACGAAAGGUGGAAGGAAAAAUUUUCAAGCUGAUAAUUUUUUUAAUUAAAAACUAUAAUAUUGCUCACUAAACAUCAUGUUUAUAUUCUCACUCCAAGCUAAGAGACCACAAUGCAAAUUCUUCUUUUCGUUGCAGGUAAUUGGUUUGUCUGAUAAUUCAUUUACGAUGCUACCUAAUUCUAUGAUGAUGAAUAUUGUUCUAUCAUUAUAACAGGGAUGCCGAAGAGAAGAGCAAAGAAUGUAAACAUCUUUUAAAGUAACGAUAUAGAUAAAUACACGGAUUUCACAAAGAAUGGGAUCCCAAACUUUUUGCUACACUGUAAUUAUAAUUCAAGCUGUGUUUGGUUAUUCCAAAUUAGAAAAUUUUUCCUUCUUCUCCUUUCUAUCCUUGAUUGACACAGGUUGAGUUGUAUUAUAUGUCGUACAAGACAAGAGUGUCCAAAUUCCAAACAAAAUAAUAAUAACCAAAAUAUUAUCAUAUUUGAAGUCUGGUGUUAAUUAUUGCAUAGCAAUAUAGCAUGAUUGUUAUUGUUAUUGUUCAAAACUUGAACGAGGUAGCUAUGGACUAUGCUACACAAUUAAUCAACUAUUAAUUUAAUUAAAUAUAAAUGUAAAUAGAUGGACACUUUGAUAUAAUUUUCCAAAACAGAUAAGGUUAUUACACAAGCAUUCUUUUUUCUUUUUUUUUUCUUCUUUUCUCUACAAAAAUACAUACUUAAAUACAACACCAUCUCAAAUCCUAGGGAUAGGGAACUAGAGAUUUCAGCUCCAAAACACAGUUUCCAUUGAUUGCACCAUGCACUCUAAAGCUGUUGGGUCUUUUUUAUAUUU